CUUAAAGGAAUUGACGGGACCCGCACAAGCGGUGGAUGAUGUGGUUUAAUUCGAUGCAACGCGAAAAACCUUACCCACCUUUGACAUGUACGGAACCCUUUAGAGAUAGAGGGGUGCUCGAAAGAGAGCCGUAACACAGGUGCUGCAUGGCUGUCGUCAGCUCGUGUCGUGAGAUGUUGGGUUAAGUCCCGCAACGAGCGCAACCCUUGCCAUCAGUUGCUACGAAAGGGCACUCUGAUGGGACUGCCGGUGACAAACCGGAGGAAGUGGGGAUGACGUCAAGUCCUCAUGGCCCUUAUAGGUGGGGCUACACACGUCAUACAAUGGCCGGUACAAAGGGCAGCAAACCCGCGAGGGGGAGCCAAUCCAUCAAAGCCGGUCGUAGUCCGGAUCGCAGUCUGCAACUCGACUGCGUGAAGUCGGAAUCGCUAGUAAUCGUGGAUCAGCAUGUCACGGUGAAUACGUUCCCGGGUCUU
rnacentral:rRNA from 1 species